UGAGAGACCCCUUAGAGACGAUGAGGUAGAUAGGGCAGAGAUGGAAGUGCAGCGAUGCAUGGAGUUGACUGUUACUAAUCGGUCGAAAGCUUGACCUU
rnacentral:rRNA from 1 species